rnacentral:rRNA from 1 species
UUUCCGUAGGUGAACCUGCGGAAGGAUCAUUUCUGAAGGCUUUUUGCCAAAACCACUGUGAACAGCUUAGACUUCGGUCUUUGCAAUUGCUUGGGUGUCGAAAGGCGCCCAAUCUUUAAAACUUUUAUAUUUGUUCUGAAACAAUGAAAAUUUAAAACUUUCAACAACGGAUCUCUUGGUUCUCGUAUCGAUGAAGAACGCAGCAAAGCGCGAUAGGUAAUGCGAAUUGCAGACGUGAGUCAUUGAAUUUUUGAACGCAUAUUGCGCUAUUAGUUUGUCUAAUAGCAUGCUUGUUGGAGUGAUAAUCUUCCUCUCAACCAUUUUUGGUAUGAGGUCUUGCUCCUUUUAGGAGUUAAAAUCAUGGAAGUGCACACGUUAAUUAACUCUGUGCAGUUAUACACUUUUCAUCCUCCAAUCAAGCAAGGUUACCCGCUGAACUUAA